UAUAGGAGCAGCCAUGGCCACCAAUGACCGCUGCCUCGCCCUGAUCCGGUAGGAAUCGACCUCCUGCGGCCGAAUCCGCCCCAUCCCGACCUCAUUGGCCCUCCUCCCGGUCUUUGUCACGAUCCACCGCCAGGCUCUAAGACCAGCGCCUCCCUCUGAAUUUUAGUACGUUUUGUAUGUCCGUCCCACAAUCCCAUUAUCUAGCAGCAACUGUCGCCACCGCCAGCAGCAGCCGUGCCCGGAGAUGCCCUCGUGGGCCGGUGCCGGCCAAGGAAGUCGCCAACUCGGACACCCUGCUAACCUUCCCCGAGGACGACGAGCACGACAAGGCGGCGGCAGAGGACGAGGCCAAGGCAUGUGUACAGGACAAGCCGAGGACGAGGCCCUGGAUUUCAUCGUCGAGGAGGAGCUGGUGGUUGAGGUGAAGGAGGAGGUCGUGGUGGUGUGGAGGAGGUCGAGGAGUAUGUGGAGCCGUCGGAGGAGGCCAAGGUGUACGUGUUCAACCUUCCCUAUGACGUCAGCAGCGAGUGCCUCGCGCAGCUCUUCGAUCAGGCCGGUGUCGUUGAGGUUGCCGAGUUGAGCAUCUCUUCCUUUUAGACCAUCCUGAAUGCUGGAUGCUAGCAAAAGUUGUUGGGAUUUGUUUCCCAGUCGAUCGGCCUGGAUGCAUCAAGCGCUUGGAUAUUUUCCUCUGCAGGAGGCCAGCGCCGUCGAGGUUAUCGUGGUGAGCAGCUCUUCCUCUUAGACCAUCUUCAGUGCUGGAUGAUAGUUUCACAGUUGAUAUGUGGCAUCGGUGACAAAAGAUGCAUCAAGUUUGCACAAGGCGACCCACAUUAUAGAUGAUGUUAGCGUGCUGCCGCUGUCAUUCCUUUUUAGACACACGCACAUUUUGUCUGGUGAAGGGAGUGCCUCAAAUCAUCAGACCACUCAUUAUGUGUCAUGUUCUUGCAAGACUGAAACUGUAAAUGAUGACUGAUUUAAUGUGGUGGUUGUGUUGUUGAACCUCAUAUGAUGGAGCAACCAGCCGUGGUGCAGAGGCUAGAUAGUUUUAGUAUUCAGACUUUCAGUUGCUGCUAGCUCUACUCUGCUUUGUUCUUUCGUAAUGGCAAUGUAGCGGCUGUGUGAUAUGAUUGCAACGCCGAGUCUUCACUGCAUAUUACCUACCGGAACUGAUAUGUUUUUGUCGACACAAAAAUCUAACCUGAAUUUGCUAUUCAGGUGGCAAAUCCAACAAUUUAUGUACUGUAUUUGCAUUUUUGAAGGCUGCAUCGUCGGGUUUCUCAUAACAUGUUGGUAGAUUUUAUUUAUUGUCUUCUUAAGAAAUAGAUCGACCCAAAACAUUGUUCAUAUUUACAUGUUGAUUAUUUUCGUAGAUUUAUAAUCCAAAUACAUGACCCAGUACAAGAUUACGAGCUUGGAGUCGUCCUUCUUGUUUGGGAGGGCAGAUUUGGUACUAAACACUUAAUUGGUGUUGAUAGACUUGUACUGUGAAAAAUAAUGGUAAUAUGAACAGACUGAUAGUGGUACACAUAGGGUGACAAGGAGUUAUUAUUUUCAUUCCUAUAUGCAACUUUUCUGGCACUAACCAAUAGUAUUGUGCUGCCAGAACACC